rnacentral:rRNA from 1 species
UACGAAGGGGGCUAGCGUUGCUCGGAAUCACUGGGCGUAAAGCGCACGUAGGCGGAUUGUUAAGUCAGGGGUGAAAUCCUGGAGCUCAACUCCAGAACUGCCUUUGAUACUGGCGAUCUUGAGUCCGGAAGAGGUGAGUGGAACUCCGAGUGUAGAGGUGAAAAUUCGUAGAUAUUCGGAAGAACACCAGUGGCGAAGGCGGCUCACUGGUUCGGUACUGACGCUGAGGUGCGAAAGCGUGGGGAGCAAACAGG